rnacentral:rRNA from 1 species
AUUGAACGCUGGCGGCAGGCCUAACACAUGCAAGUCGAGCGGAUGAAGGGAGCUUGCUCCUGGAUUCAGCGGCGGACGGGUGAGUAAUGCCUAGGAAUCUGCCUGGUAGUGGGGGAUAACGUCCGGAAACGGGCGCUAAUACCGCAUACGUCCUGAGGGAGAAAGUGGGGGUUCUUCGGACCUCACGCUAUCAGAUGAGCCUAGGUCGGAUUAGCUAGUUGGUGGGGUAAAGGCCUACCAAGGCGACGAUCCGUAACUGGUCUGAGAGGAUGAUCAGUCACACUGGAACUGAGACACGGUCCAGACUCCUACGGGAGGCAGCAGUGGGGAAUGUUGGACAAUGGGCGAAAGCCUGAUCCAGCCAUGCCGCGUGUGUGAAGAAGGUCUUCGGAUUGUAGAGCACUUUAAGUUGGGAGGAAGGGCAGUAAGUUAAUACCUUGCUGUUUUGACGUUACCAACAGAAUAAGCACCGGCUAACUUCGUG